AGCUAGGGUAAUCUUCCACAAUAGGACGCAAGUCCUGAUGGAGCAACGCCGCGUGAGUGAAGAAGGGUUUCGGCUCGUAAAGCUCUGUUGGUAGUGAAGAAAGAUAGAGGUAGUAACUGGCCUUUAUUUGACGGUAAUUACUUAGAAAGUCACGGCUAACUACGUGCCAGCAGCCGCGGUAAUACGUAGGUGGCAAGCGUUGUCCGGAUUUAUUGGGCGUAAAGCGAGUGCAGGCGGUUCAAUAAGUCUGAUGUGAAAGCCCACGGCUCAACCGUGGAGGGUCAUUGGAAACUGGAAAACUUGAGUGCAGAAGAGGAAAGUGGAAUUCCAUGUGUAGCGGUGAAAUGCGCAGAGAUAUGGAGGAACACCAGUGGCGAAGGCGACUUUCUGGUCUGUAACUGACGCUGAUGUGCGAAAGCGUGGGGAUCAAACAGGAUUAGAUACCCUGGUAGUCCACGCCGUAAACGAUGAGUGCUAAGUGUUAGGGGGUUUCCGCCCCUUAGUGCUGCAGCUAACGCAUUAAGCACUCCGCCUGGGGAGUACGACCGCAAGGUUG
rnacentral:rRNA from 1 species